AGUAAGGUGCCUGAAUUAAAGGAUUAUUUUGAUAGAAUAAAUCAUGUAAAGAAUUACCCCUACUA
rnacentral:tRNA from 1 species